rnacentral:rRNA from 1 species
CUUGGUCAUUUAGAGGAAGUAAAAGUAGUAACAAGGUUUCCGUAGGUGAACCUGCGGAAGGAUCAUUAUUGAUUGCGAAUCGUUGUCUUCAGUGCUGGCCAGCUCUGGCAAGUGCACGUUGGCGGCUUUUCAUCCAAUACCCCUGUGAACCUUUGGCCUCUUGCUGGCUUUGGCUGGCAGAGGAUUUUUUACACCCGCUCGAAUGUAAUGAAAUUAUUGUUGUGCGCAAGCACUACUGUACAACUUUCAACAACGGAUCUCUUGGCUCUCGCAUCGAUGAAGAACGCAGCGAAAUGCGAUAAGUAAUGUGAAUUGCAGAAUUCAGUGAAUCAUCGAAUCUUUGAACACACCUUGCACCCUUUGGCAUUCCGAAGGGUAUGCUCGCUUGAGUGUCAUUGUACUCUCACACUUCUGAUCUUUUGGUCGGGAGCGGUGGACUUGGGUGUUGCUGCUUUACUGUGGCUCACCUCAAAUGCAUUAGUGCAACUCUUGGUUGGACAUAGUACGGCGUGAUAAGUAUCUUCGCCGGCACCUCGCAAGAGGGUGGCUGAUCAGGAGCUCUGUGCUUUCCAACUGUCUUCAGACAACAACUGACAACUUGACCUCAAAUCGAGUAGGACCACCCGCUGAACUUAAGCAUAUCAAUAAGCGGAGGA